rnacentral:rRNA from 1 species
CACUCCUGCGGGAGGCAGCAGUGGGGAAUAUUGGACAAUGGGCGCAAGCCUGAUCCAGCCAUGCCGCGUGAGUGAUGAAGGCCCUAGGGUUGUAAAGCUCUUUCACCGGUGAAGAUAAUGACGGUAACCGGAGAAGAAGCCCCGGCUAACUUCGUGCCAGCAGCCGCGGUAUACGAAGGGGGCUAGCGUUGUUCGGAUUUACUGGGCGUAAAGCGCACGUAGGCGGACUAUUAAGUCAGGGGUGAAAUCCCGGGGCUCAACCCCGGAACUGCCUUUGAUACUGGUAGUCUUGAGUUCGAGAGAGGUGAGUGGAAUUCCGAGUGUAGAGGUGAAAUUCGUAGAUAUUCGGAGGAACACCAGUGGCGAAGGCGGCUCACUGGCUCGAUACUGACGCUGAGGUGCGAAAGCGUGGGGAGCAAACAGGAUUAGAUACCCUUGUAGUCCC